rnacentral:rRNA from 1 species
UACGUAGGGACCAAGCGUUGUUCGGAUUUACUGGGCGUAAAGGGCGCGUAGGCGGCAUGACAAGUCACUUGUGAAAUCUCCGGGCUUAACUCGGAACGGCCAAGUGAUACUGUCACGCUAGAGUGCAGAAAGGGCAAUCGGAAUUCUUGGUGUAGCAGUGAAAUGCGUAGAUAUCGGGAGGAACACCGGUGGCGAAGGCGGCCCCCUGGUUGGAUACUGACGCUGAGACGCGAAAGCGUGGGGAGCAAACAGG